UACGUAGGGGGCAAGCGUUAUCCGGAUUUACUGGGUGUAAAGGGAGCGUAGACGGCAAGGCAAGUCUGAUGUGAAAACCCAGGGCUUAACCCUGGGACUGCAUUGGAAACUGUCUGGCUCGAGUGCCGGAGAGGUAAGCGGAAUUCCUAGUGUAGCGGUGAAAUGCGUAGAUAUUAGGAAGAACACCAGUGGCGAAGGCGGCUUACUGGACGGUAACUGACGUUGAGGCUCGAAAGCGUGGGGAGCAAACAGGAUGAGAAACCCCUGGAGGCCGCUGACUGACU
rnacentral:rRNA from 1 species